GGGUUGUGAGGUUAAGCGACUAAGCGUACACGGUGGAUGCCCUGGCAGUCAGAGGCGAUGAAGGGCGUGCUAAUCUGCGAUAAGCGCCGGUAAGGUGAUAUGAACCGUUAUAACCGGCGAUACCCGAAUGGGGAAACCCAGUGUGAUUCGUCACACUAUCAUUAACUGAAUCCAUAGGUUAAUGAGGCGAACCGGGGGAACUGAAACAUCUAAGUACCCCGAGGAAAAGAAAUCAACCGAGAUUCCCCCAGUAGCGGCGAGCGAACGGGGAGGAGCCCAGAGCCUGAAUCAGCAUGUGUGUUAGUGGAAGCGUCUGGAAAGGCGCGCGAUACAGGGUGACAGCCCCGUACACAAAAGCGCAUAUGCUGUGAGCUCGAUGAGUAGGGCGGGACACGUGGUAUCCUGUCUGAAUAUGGGGGGACCAUCCUCCAAGGCUAAAUACUCCUGACUGACCGAUAGUGAACCAGUACCGUGAGGGAAAGGCGAAAAGAACCCCGGCGAGGGGAGUGAAAAAGAACCUGAAACCGUGUACGUACAAGCAGUGGGAGCCCCACCACUAAGCCAGUGGUGAACUCCACAUACGCAUCCUUUGCUGAGGAGACGGUUAACGGAGCGAAAGCGACGUUCAACCUCAAAAGAAGCAGAGGGGGCUUAGUGGUGGGGUGACUGCGUACCUUUUGUAUAAUGGGUCAGCGACUUAUAUUCUGUAGCAAGGUUAACUGUA
rnacentral:rRNA from 1 species